UACGUAGGGUGCGAGCGUUGUCCGGAAUUAUUGGGCGUAAAGAGCUCGUAGGCGGUGUGUCACGUCGAUCGUGAAAACUUACAGCUUAACUGUGAGCGUGCGGUCGAUACGGGCAUCACUGGAGUUCGGCAGGGGAGACUGGAAUUCCUGGUGUAGCGGUGAAAUGCGCAGAUAUCAGGAGGAACACCGGUGGCGAAGGCGGUUGCCUGGAGCUUUGCUGACGCUGAGGCGCGAAAGCGUGGGGAGCGAUCCGG
rnacentral:rRNA from 1 species